rnacentral:lncRNA from 1 species
UGAACAUUAACUAAUAUUCGAUCGUCCACAACGAUGGAGCUUAACAUGAACAUGAACAUUAACAUUAACAAAGUAAACUGCAAAGUUAUAGUUAGUGAGAAUGAAUCUUAAUGCGACCAAACAUUAAUUAAAAUUUGACUAAAAGUUAGCAAAGUUGAUCAUGUAGUUUUACGCAGCACGAAUUAACAUCGUCGCCACUGUAAACAUGCAAGCCAAUGCAGCUCUCUCGAUCAAGCUCGCUGCUGC